rnacentral:lncRNA from 1 species
CCGCACUGCGACCAUCUUCUCGUUAUUAGAAACCCCGGAGUGAGCGGUGAAAUGCUGUCUUUACCGCUCGUUUACCACUUUUCUCCUGGCCAGUACAGAGAUGACAGGCCUAACUACAGGAAUCCCCGAGGGCGAUGUGGCCGUUUUUCCCACAAUGGUUAGAGAGACUCCCAAUGACAAAUAACAGGGAUGGAGCCAUUCCAGUGCUGUUGCCCAUCAUGGAUGGAUGUGCAUCGGGAAUCACGGCAGAACAGGGGCACUUUAGAAGAAUUGUCCCGCCGUCACUGCUGACCCCCCACCCGGACAACGUCUCGCAUGAAUCCCCCACAGGUGAGAGCUCUCAAGCCCCCGAUCAAUAGCUUAUCA